GACGAACGCUGGCGGCGUGCUUAACACAUGCAAGUCGAGCGAGAAAGCGGCUUCGGCCGUGAGUACAGCGGCGAACGGGUGAGUAACACGUGGGCAACCUGCCCCAGAGAUUGGGAUAACGUCCCGAAAGGGACGCUAAUACCGAAUAACGCGUGACCUGCCAAGUGGGUCACGCCAAAUGGUAGCCUCGGCCUCUGCUCUGGGAUGGGCCCGCGCCGGAUUAGCUUGUUGGUGGGGUAACGGCCUACCAAGGCGACGAUCCGUAGCUGGUCUGAGAGGACGAUCAGCCACACUGGGACUGAGACACGGCCCAGACUCCCACGGGAGGCAGCAGUGGGGAAUCUUGCGCAAUGGGCGAAAGCGUGACGCAGCAACGCCGCGUGAGCGAAGACGGCCUUCGGGUUGUAAAGCUCUGUCAGGAGGGACGAAGCCACUCGGGUGAAUAGCCCAGAGGGUGACGGUACCUCCAGAGGAAGCCCCGGCUAACUACGUGCCAGCCGCCGCCGUAA
rnacentral:rRNA from 1 species